CAACUUCUGAUCCUGAUGACCGUAAGAGAGCCCUUGUAAUUGGAGGAGGAAUUGCUAACUUCACUGAUGUAGCUGCAACAUUCAAUGGCAUUAUUAGAGCCUUGAAGGAGAAGGUGAUCAGCUAAAUCUACUUUGCUAAACCCCAAUUUUGUAUGUGUUUUGUUACCAUCUUUUCUAAGUGCAAAACUGACAAUGCCAUAUUUGAUCAAUCAGGAAACAAAGCUUAAGGUUGAUAGGAUGCAUCUUUAUGUUAGGAGAGGAGGUCCCAACUAACAGAGGGGACUCGCAAAAAUGAGGGCACUUGCAGAGGAAAUUGGCCUCCCUAUUGAGGUCUAUGGUCCUGAAGCAACAAUGGCUGGUAUUUGCAAGCAGGCAAUCCAGUGCGUCACUACUGCUGCAUGACAACGUUAUAUGAAGAUGGCUGCUUUCUUCUUGUCUAUCUCACCUUUUCUUCUGUGGCAAGUUUCAAUAUCUCCAUACCUUGUACCAAUUUCUAUUGUUAAGCUCUUUGUACCAAUUUCAUUCUGUCAAAAACCUCAGCAAAGUUGAUGUA